AGAGUUUGAUCAUGGCUCAGAGUGAACGCUGGCGGUAGGCCUAACACAUGCAAGUCGAACGGCAGCACAGGAGAGCUUGCUCUCUGGGUGGCGAGUGGCGGACGGGUGAGGAAUACAUCGGAAUCUACUUUUUCGUGGGGGAUAACGUAGGGAAACUUACGCUAAUACCGCAUACGACCUACGGGUGAAAGCAGGGGAUCUUCGGACCUUGCGCGAUUGAGUGAGCCGAUGUCGGAUUAGCUGGUUGGCGGGGUAAAGGCCCACCAAGGCGACGAUCCGUAGCUGGUCUGAGAGGAUGAUCAGCCACACUGGGACUGAGACACGGUCCAGACUCCUACGGGAGGCAGCAGUGGGGAAUAUUGGACAAUGGGCGCAAGCCUGAUCCAGCCAUACCGCGUGGGUGAAGAAGGCCUUCGGGUUGUAAAGCCCUUUUGUUGGGAAAGAAAUCCAGCUGGUUAAUACCCGGUUGGGAUGACGGUACCCAAAGAAUAAGCACCGGCUAACUUCGUGCCAGCAGCCGCGGUAAUACGAAGGGUGCAAGCGUUACUCGGAAUUACUGGGCGUAAAGCGUGCGUAGGUGGUCGUUUAAGUCCGUUGUGAAAGCCCUGGGCUCAACCUGGGAACUGCAGUGGAUACUGGACGACUAGAGUGUGGUAGAGGGUAGCGGAAUUCCUGGUGUAGCAGUGAAAUGCGUAGAGAUCAGGAGGAACAUCCAUGGCGAAGGCAGCUACCUGGACCAACACUGACACUGAGGCACGAAAGCGUGGGGAGCAAACAGGAUUAGAUACCCUGGUAGUCC
rnacentral:rRNA from 1 species